GACGAACGCUGGCGGCGUGCCUAACACAUGCAAGUCGAGCGAUGAAGCCCUUCGGGGUGGAUUAGCGGCGGACGGGUGAGUAACACGUGGGUAACCUACCUCAAAGAGGGGGAUAGCCUCCCGAAAGGGAGAUUAAUACCGCAUAAUAUUAGUUUUUCGCAUGAAGAACUAAUUAAAGGAGCAAUCCGCUUUGAGAUGGACCCGCGGCGCAUUAGCUAGUUGGUGAGGUAAAGGCUCACCAAGGCGACGAUGCGUAGCCGACCUGGGAGGGUGAUCGGCCACAUUGGAACUGAGACACGGUCCAGACUCCUACGGGAGGCAGCAGUGGGGAAUAUUGCACAAUGGGCGAAAGCCUGAUGCAGCAACGCCGCGUGAGUGAUGAAGGCCUUCGGGUUGUAAAGCUCUGUCUUUUGGGACGAUAAUGAUGGUACCAAAGGAGGAAGCCACGGCUAACUACGUGCCAGCCGCCGCCGUAAUAC
rnacentral:rRNA from 1 species